UACGUAGGGGGCUAGCGUUGUCCGGAAUUACUGGGCGUAAAGCGCGCGUAGGCGGCCUCGUAAGUCCGUUGUGAAAGUCAAAGGCUCAACCUUUGAAAGCCGAUGGAUACUGUGAGGCUAGAGUCCGGAAGAGGCGAGUGGAAUUCCUGGUGUAGCGGUGGAAUGCGCAGAUAUCAGGAGGAACACCAAUAGCGAAGGCAGCUCGCUGGGACGGUACUGACGCUAAGGCGCGAAAGCGUGGGGAGCGAACAGG
rnacentral:rRNA from 1 species